CCAAAAAGUCCCUGCCUCGAAGUAGGAGCUAAAAUAGUUCCAGGAACUACUGUUUCGGGGGAGAAAAAAUCCCCCAAAAAUCCCCCAAUCGUCUGGUGCGAACGCAAACAAAAAGGUACUAGGAACGUUUAGUUCCAGGAACUACAAAAGGUACUGCCGGUGCGAAAGCGCCUAAAGCCUGGUUCUCGCUACUCAGUUUAUGAAUUUAUACAAUGAAGAAUAUCUUACUUUAAUCAGCAGAAAGAUAUAAUGAGGCAACGUAUGAAACUAAGAAUACAAGUAUCCUAAAUGAUAUGUGAGGAGAACUUGAAUAAAUACCACUAAUUAUUUUACAUCUAUAAUAUUUCAGACAUUUGAUUUGUUUUAACAUCCAAUGUAGAGUUUUAAAAGUUAAAAAUAAAUGUGAUGCUGCUUAAAGAUAUAAUUAGCUUGACUUAAACUGUACUGUAUAAUGUGAACAUUUACAAGUACUUCAUACAUUUCACUUGAAUUUACAUCUGUUAUUAUUGCUCUUUCUUUGUAGGCUCAAGUGGAAGGCGAAUGCUGCUGUUCUUCCUUGAGCUUAAAGACAUCGGACUACAGAGUGCUGCUCCGGACACUGCAGCAUUUUCAAGAUCAGUCAUCAAAAAGCUGCUAUUUUUUCGGUCUGUGAGAAAUCAACACAGAAGAUGGCUACUCCCCAGAGAUUUGUGCUACGUGUAUAUGUUGCAACAGAUGUUGCCAUGAAACUUACUCUAACGGAGCGACCAACCUCUGUAGAAGAGCUUAUGGACGUAAUGAAAGAGAAGUUCAGGCCAAGACUGGAUGGUGACUUUACCUUGCAAUAUGAGGAUCCUGACUUCGGCGGUCAACUUACUGUUCUUGCGGAUAUUCAGGAGUUGCCUGAGAAGGGCACAUUGAGAAUACUGAGAUCUGAAAGUGAUGCCACCUCAACCGGAAGUUCCGAUACAGACAUACUCCCACAUGUACCUUUAACACA